UACGGAGGGUGCGAGCGUUGUCCGGAAUCACUGGGCGUAAAGGGCGCGUAGGUGGCGCGGGCAGUCAACGGUGAAAGUUCGGGGCUCAACCCUGAAUCGGCCGUCGAUACUCCCGGGCUUGAGCACUGUAGAGGCAGGUGGAAUUCCGGGUGUAGCGGUGGAAUGCGUAGAGAUCCGGAAGAACACCGGUGGCGAAGGCGGCCUGCUGGGCAGUAGCUGACGCUGAGGCGCGACAGCGUGGGGAGCAAACAGG
rnacentral:rRNA from 1 species